rnacentral:rRNA from 1 species
GUGAGGAAUAUUGGUCAAUGGGCGAGAGCCUGAACCAGCCAAGUCGCGUGAAGGAAGACGGCCCUACGGGUUGUAAACUUCUUUUGCAAUGGAAUAAAAAGAGUUACGUGUAAUUCAUUGUAUGUACAUUGCGAAUAAGGAUCGGCUAACUCCGUGCCAGCAGCCGCGGUAAUACGGAGGAUCCGAGCGUUAUCCGGAUUUAUUGGGUUUAAAGGGUGCGUAGGCGGAUUGGAAAGUCAGCGGUGAAAGUUUGCAGCUUAACUGUAAAAUUGCCAUUGAAACUGUCAGUCUUGAGUGCAAAUGAGGUAGGCGGAAUGUGUUGUGUAGCGGUGAAAUGCAUAGAUAUAACACAGAACACCAAUUGCGAAGGCAGCUUACUGGGAUGCAACUGACGCUGAGGCACGAAAGCGUGGGGAUCAAACAGGAUUAGAAACCAGGGUAGUCC